AUUGAACGCUGGCGGCAGGCCUAACACAUGCAAGUCGAACGAGUGGAGGGCGGGUGAGUAAUGUAUGGGAAAAUGCACGCUGGAGGGGGAUAACUACUGGAAAAGAUAGCUAAUACAGCAUACAAUCGGAAGUGCCCAGAUGGGAUUAGCUAGGAGGUGGGGUAAGGGCUCACCUAGGCGACGAUCCCUAGCUGGUCUGAGAGGAUGACAAGCCACACUGGAACUGAGACACGGUCCAGCCUCCUACGCGAGGCAGCAGUGGAGAAUAUUGCACAAUGGGCGAAAGCCUGAUGCAGCCAUGCCGCGUGUAUGAAGAAGUCCGUCGGGUUGUAAAGUACUUGCAGCGAGGAGGCGUUACUCGCAGAAGAAGCACCGGCUAACUCCGUGCCAGCAGCCGCGGUAAUUC
rnacentral:rRNA from 1 species